rnacentral:tRNA from 1 species
GGCCUCGUAGUUCAGUGAAUAGAAUGUCAGAUUCCGGUUCUGAAGGUCGGGGGUUUGAGUCCCCCCGAGGUCACCA